AGUGAACGCUGGCGGUAGGCCUAACACAUGCAAGUCGAACGGCAGCACAGUAAGAGCUUGCUCUUACGGGUGGCGAGUGGCGGACGGGUGAGGAAUACAUCGGAAUCUACUUUUUCGUGGGGGAUAACGUAGGGAAACUUACGCUAAUACCGCAUACGACCUACGGGUGAAAGCAGGGGAUCUUCGGACCUUUCGCGAUUGAAUGAGCCUAUGUCGGAUUAGCUAGUUGGCGGGGUAAAGGCCCACCAAGGCGACGAUCCGUAGCUGGUCUGAGAGGAUGAUCAGCCACCCUGGAAGUGAGAAACGGCCCAGACUCCUACGGGAGGCAGCGGUGGGGAAUCUUGGACAAUGGGGGAAAGCCUGAUCCAGCCAUACCGCGUGGGUGAAGAAGGCCUUCGGGUUGUAAAGCCAUUUUGUUGGGAAAGAAAAGCAGCAGGUUAAUACCCCGCUGUUCUGACGGUACCCAAAGAAUAAGCACCGGCUAACUUCGUG
rnacentral:rRNA from 1 species